UACGUAGGGGGCAAGCGUUGUCCGGAAUCAUUGGGCGUAAAGCGCGCGUAGGCGGCCCGGUAAGUCCGUUGUGAAAGUCAGAGGCUCAACCUCUGGAGGCCAAUGGAUACUGCCGGGCUAGAGUCCGGAAGAGGCGAGUGGAAUUCCUGGUGUAGCGGUGGAAUGCGCAGAUAUCAGGAGGAACACCGAUGGCGAAGGCAGGUCUCUGGGCUAACACUGACGCUCAUGCACGAAAGCGUGGGGAGCAAACAGG
rnacentral:rRNA from 1 species